UCUUAUCGUUUAGUUAUUGUUGCUGCUGGGAACGCGAGCCUUUAUGACGAAGACCUGCCUGGCCUUCCUGGGCAGGUCCGCUUCCUAGCCUCUCCCGCGACUGCUUUCAUUUAGGGAGGGCCAGCCUCUGGAUUCAGCUGACAUUUCCCCCCAAUCUAACAGUCAACUUCAAGGCGCUUGCUUCACACUUGGAGCUUUCCGCGCGGAAAAGUCGGUGGAAAAGCCGCGACUUGACUUUUAUCACCACACCGUGAGGGCCCAAAAGCAGGUUCACCUCUGGACUGGAGAGCAGAAGCACAGCCAGAGUUGGGGUGAUCAGCGGCUCUGUGGGUGACCACUAACUUCUCAGCGUGUCCUCCAGCUUGCAACACCUUCCCGCGAGGCUCUUCCCAACGCCAAGAGUACAGACAUGAAAGUCGGAAGGCAUCAAGUUUCAGCUCCCUGAGUGAUGGAAGAUCAUUCGGCCACGAGGACCUUCGAAGUUGGCCCCGUCUACAGCUUGUAAUGAAAAGGAUAAUCUGUCUUGUAAUGAAAAACAGGACCCACACAAACAAACCCAGCAUCCAACCGCCUUCUACCGCGCCUCACUCUUCCCUAAUAAGGGCCAGUGACAAAUAUUGCCGUCCAGUUCCACCCAAAAAAGAGGAAGCAGUAGAUCUUCCUUUUAAUAACUUCCCAAAGUGUUACAAAUAAUAAAAAGGACGCAUAAAUCAUCGCAGGGGCGUCUGAACGUGGACCACGGAAGGAUUUACUCCUCUCAAGCCUGGACUUCAAACCACGCUCUCACUGGCUGCUUCCUUGUAGCCCGGCCCCCAAAUCCUCCCUCUUAUUGGUCCGUCAGGCGGAGUGACGUACGGAAAGGGCGUGGGGUCGGUAGGGGACGGAGUCCAUCAGCGCGCAUGCGCCCUAUGGCGUGAGUGUGUGAUUGACAGCAAGGGGAGGUGCGCGCGCGUGCGCGUGGGUCUGUGCGUUUGUUGGGCGGGGGGAUGUGUGUGGUGGUGAGGGUGAUGGGAGUGAUGGUGGUGAUAGUAGUGGCGAUGAGUGCUCGAACUGGAGUUGCUCCUGCCUGCUGCGUGAAUGUAGUUCUCUUUGCGGGCAUUUUCCGCUGAGUCAGAGGGGCUGACAGUUACAAACCGCACACUCACGGGCUUGGAAGACCUUCUGGAAGCGAUUUACCAAGGAGGGUCUCCAGCAGCCAACACACGGGGGAGGGAGUAAAGAGAAAGUAGAAGGCAUGGUUUACUGUUGGUCUGAAAAAGAUACUUAAAAACCCUCAGGAAGAGAUUUAAUUUUGCCGCUGUGUCGAUUUGUGCUUUUCUUGUAAAGUGCACACUAAAUUACGCUUCGUCUAACAGCCGAGGCUUCGUAUGCACCACACACUUCUCCCCACCUCCUCUCAGCACCGAUUUAGCCCCGUUCGGUUCUCCUGCAGUCACAGGUUACACACACAUCUUAGCCUCUUGUAGUCAUGCAAACCAGGGCGAACUUUAAAGAUACCCGGAACAGUCUGAUAAUCCUUAACUGCAAGAAAGAAAGAAAGAAAGAAAGAGAAGGAAAGAAGUUAAAAAAAAAAGAAAAAGAAAUAAGAAAGGAAGAAGAAAGAAAAAAGAGGAAAGAAAAAGAAAUAGGCAUCAAUCAGUAAACAAUAGUGUUAAAGAUAAAUAAAAUACCGAAGGAAAAACCCA
rnacentral:lncRNA from 1 species